UACAGAGGUGGCAAGCGUUGUUCGGAAUUACUGGGCGUAAAGGGCGCGUAGGCGGUCUUUUAAGUCUUGUGUGAAAUCCCUCGGCUCAACUGAGGAACUGCACGGGAUACUGGAAGACUUGAGUUCGGGAGAGGGAAGCGGAAUUCCGGGUGUAGCGGUGAAAUGCGUAGAUAUCCGGAGGAACACCGGUGGCGAAGGCGGCUCCCUGGACCGAUUACUGACGCUGAGGCGCGAAAGCUAGGGGAGCAAACGGG
rnacentral:rRNA from 1 species